UCUCUACUCACUCAACAGAGAGAUCUCCGGAGAAACCAAUUUCCUCCAUUAAGCACAUCACAGAAACCCACCAUUCUCCCAACCUUCAUCCUCAUUCACUCAUUUGCCUAGCCACUGCCCACUCCAACCCUUGUCUUACUCGCAAGCCACCAUCAACCAGGAUUCAAGAAAAAAAACUUGAACGCAAAGAUAGAAGAUCUUGCUCUAUCACGGAGAAAGGUGCAACCAGGAAACAGAGAGAAGGAAAGGAAAAGUGCAGGAAACAGAGAG
rnacentral:sRNA from 1 species